AAGGCCUCCCUGAGAACAUGGCUUGCGAUGGGGCCUGAUUCCGUCUCCUUCUAGCCACAUCCCCAACUCCUGGGUUCAGCCAACUGGCAGGUGUUUCCUGGCUCAGGAAAUGCGAGAGAAAGAAGCCUGUCCCUGCCCACCUAGAACUCCCUUGUCAGCAUCGUCAUUUGUCUGUGCUCUCAUGGGGCCUCACAACAGAGUCUCAAGGUGGGUGGCAUGCUCUUCCUCUGGACAGAUGAAGAAAAGGAUGCUCAGAGAGGUGAUUCCAUUUCCUCCCAAAUUAAGAUGGAGUAUGAGAAGGCACCGAGGAGCUGGAGGCAGGAGCUCCAGACUGGAGGCCAAGUGCUGUCAUCUGCAAGCCGUGUGACCCGGGACAAGUCUCUGUCCCACAGAUCCCUGCGUCCUCACCUGCAGCGAUCAUAACACCCAGCUCAAUGAGUCCAUGUGAAGAAAUGAAAAAGACCAUAUGAGAAUGCCUGUGGUGACCUGCUAGACAUGUGUGUGAUUACCUAGAGGCUAAGGGAGCUCCCUUCGGGUCUGAGUCCCGGGAUCACUGUGCCUUAAGCCAUGUGACCUUGGGAAAGCCAACUGCUCCCAGGCCUCAGUUUGCUCACCUGUCAAAUGGAAGGGAUGCUGGCAUUUCUGUCAGCAGUGUUGCAGGGAUAGGAUAGAAGGAGAUAAAGCAUUGUGAGGCCGAGGCAGGAGGAUCACUUGAAGCCAGGAGUUCGAGACCAACCUGGGCAGCAUUAGCAAGACCCCCAUCUCUACAAAAAUAAAAAUAAAUUAGCCAGGUAUAGUGGCGCAUGCCUGUAGUCCUGGCUACUUGGGAGGCUGAGGUGGGAGGAUCGCUUGAGCCUGGGAGGUUGAGGCUGCAGUGAGCUAUGAUCACACCAUUGCACUCCAGCCUGGGUGACAGAGUGAGACCCUGUCUCAAAAGGAAAAAAGAAUGUAUCCGACCAUUUUAAAACCAAAGCGGAGCACAUGGUAAU
rnacentral:lncRNA from 10 species